rnacentral:rRNA from 1 species
GAUGAACGCUGGCUACAGGCUUAACACAUGCAAGUCGUGGGGAAACGGCAUUAUGUGCUUGCACAUUCUGGACGUCGACCGGCGCACGGGUGAGUAUCGCGUAUCCAACCUGCCCCUUACUUGGGGAUACCCCGUUGAAAGACGGCCUAAUACCCGAUGUGUUUCAUUGACGGCAUCCGAUAUGAAACAAAGGUUUUCCGGUAAGGGAUGGGGAUGCGUCUGAUUAGCUUGUUGGCGGGGCAACGGCCCACCAAGGCGACGAUUAGUAGGGGUUCUGAGAGGAAGGUCUCCCACAUUGGAACUGAGACACGGUCCAAACUCCUACGGGAGGCAGCAGUGAGGAAUAUUGGUCAAUGGACGCAAGUCUUAACCAGCCAAGUAGCGUGCAGGAUGACGUCCCUAUGGGUUGUAAACUGCUUUUAUGUGGUAAUAAAGUUGCGCACGUGUGCGCCAUUGCAUGUACCUCAUGAAUAAUGACCGGCUUAUUCCGUGCCAGCAGCCUCGUUAUACUGGGAGGUCCGGGCGUUUCCUGAUUUUUUGGUUUAAAUGUAGUUUAUGCGGUCUUUUGAUCGUGUUGUGAAAUGUGAGGUCUUGACAUUUGACUUGCUGCGCGUGCUGUCUGAUGUGAUGUGCUGUGCUCAGGUGUAUUGUUGGUGUUGUCGUGUAAAUGUUUUAUAUGAAUAUGUGACUCCAUGACUAAUGUGCGGGCAGGAGUGAUGCGGUGGUUGACCUCGUAGUCGUCUUUCGAUGGAUUUGUGUGCUGGGUGUGCCAUGUGUAUGCUGUGUGUGAUGCUGCUGUGUGUGCCGUGCAAAAAAAUAUAUAUGAUUGUAUGUAUUGUUGGUGCUUGUGCUUGAUGUGCUGUUGUGCG